GGAUCCACUUCCUAUCAAUAUAGGAAGAUAGGACUUGCUAUCUUCGAUCUACUUCACGCCAAUACAUGAAGACAAGAUCUGCUUUCUGCGAUCUACUUCGCCACCAAUAUGGGAAGACAAGAUCUGCGUCGUCGAUCCACUUCCUACCAAUAUAGGAAGAUAGGAUCAGCUAUCUUCGAUCUAUUUCUUGCCCCGGGAGAUAGAACUAUCAGCUUCAAUGUACUCCAUUGUAAUCAGGGAGGUAAAAUCUGCCAUCUUCGAUCUGCUUUGCUGCCAAAUACAGGAAGGCAAGAUCUGCAAUCUUCAAUCUAUUCCACUGCCAAAUACAGGGAGAUAGAGUUAUCGGCUUCAAUGUACUCCCAUGUAGUCAGGGAGGUAAAAUCUGCCAUCUUUGAUCUUCAAUCUAUUCCACUGCCAAAUGCAGAGAGAUAGAGUUAUCGGCUUUAAUGUACUCCACUGUAGUCAGGGAGGUAAAAUCUGCCAUCUUUGAUCUUCAAUCUAUUCCACUGCCAAAUACAGGGAGAUAGAGUUAUCGGCUUCAAUGUACUCCACUGUGGUCAGGGAGGUAAAAUCUGCCAUCUUUGAUCUGCUUCGCUGCCAAAUACAGGAAGGCAAGAUCUGCAAUCUUCAAUC
rnacentral:lncRNA from 1 species